rnacentral:rRNA from 1 species
UUGUACACACCGCCCGUCGCUACUACCGAUUGAAUGGCUAAGUGAGGCUUUUGGACCGGCCCAGAGAGGGUGGCAACACCCACUCAGGGCUGGAAAAUCAUACAAACUUGGUCAUUUAGAGGAAGUAAAAGUCGUAACAAGG